ensembl:lncRNA
CUCCUCUGGCAGUGCGCAGACGCAGUGCACACAGUCACGCCAUACUAGCACUCUCUGCACCCCGGCAAUCAGCUACAGAAAAUAGCAUUAAAAAUAAGGAAACUAAAAAAAGAGAACGUACAAACACUCAGAGUGGACUGCCCCGCAUAAGGACAUUUGAAAUAUGCAACAGUUCUGAGAGCAGGUUAAAAGAUUAACCUUAUCUGGUACAGUACAGUACAGUACUGCAGCUCUCCCUCUCGUCAAGCUGCAACAGUCUGUCUGGAUCACAUGCUACAGCCAGCCACGGCUCACAGACAGAAAGUAUGAACUCUAGCAUGCCACAGCAGCUAGCGUGAAAGCAGCAUUGAGAAGACAAAGAGCAGAUAUGGAAAAAUGGGAGCUACUUGAGUAUAAUACUGUAGUGAAGCACGUGGCAGGGUAGAGAGCAGGGUUAGUAGAGUUACAGCACAGUAAGACGGUCCUCUUUCUGCCCUGGCUCUGCUUCUCCGAGGGGCUAAACAUCGCACGACCCUUACAGCGAUCUUGGCAAGGAGUCAAAAGCCUGAUAAGCGUUUUGGGUGAGACCUCACUGCUUUUCUGGAAGAAAAACAGCUGCUGUGAUUACAACGUGAUUGAGAAUUCACAGAAAACACGAGGGGUUCUGAUUUGUCCUGGCUAAAAAGGCACAGGAUAGCUUGUCCAAAUAGGAAAAGAUUGUUGAGUAUAUUUGCUUCUAAACUAUCCCUUACCCUGGAAUCAUCUAGAAUCCUGCAUUGUGGGGCGCUCCACCCGCCCUACACCCUGCCGUUUGCGCGUGCACACACACACACACACACACACACACACACACACACACACACACACACACACACACACACACACACUACAAAACAGCACGGCAGACCAGUCCUCCACCAUCUUAGUACAUACCGAUCAUCAUUUUGAUUUUCGUUUUUUUUCUAUCUCUGUCUUUUUCAUACUUCCUCUUUCCCUCCCUCUCUCUGUCCCACCACCUUCUCCACCGUGCGACUAGCGUUGGGCUUUUCCCAUUUGUGGCAGAUUACUAUAACACUAUUGUAAAACAACUUCCUGCCUCUUUUGGCUCUGGUUCCAAAUAACGGCAAAGGCUGGGCUCACACGCUUGAACUUUUUCCCCCCUCUCUGUCCCGAAGUAUCAGGAGCUCUAAAUAGGGAAGACAGAAAAGGGAAAAACGGUCAAAUCUCUGCACGUCUCCUGUUCUGGACUUAUUUUGAUGCCUUAUGUCUUUAAUGCCAGAUGAAAGUAUAGCAGGGGAUUGCAUGCCUAGCAGAGAAAAAGAGACCUUUGAGGGCACUCCCCAUAGAGCAGGGAACAAAGGCCAUGACCCUGGGGUCAAAAGCGUUACACGGGAGGCCAGGCAGACCCAUUGAGGGCCUAGUGCUGUUUGCUUUAAGAAGGUAAAGAUUACUAACACAUUAACUAAUGCCGAUUAGGGGGUUAUCCCCUGAGGGACGUCACUCACAGGGUCUACACAUCACGUGUUAUUAACACCCCAUGACCUCUGACCUCUGGCCUGUCACUUCAGGCAGCAGAGUGUGACCACCACUCUCCCUUUCUGUCUAUGUGUUUGGAUAACACACAAAACGGAC